GAUGAACGCUGGCGGCGUGCCUAAUACAUGCAAGUCGUGCGGGGGAAGAUCCUUCGGGAUCGGAUCCAGCGGCUAACGGGUGAGUAACACGUGGGCAACCUGCCCGCAAGACGGGGAUAACUCCGGGAAACCGGUGCUAAUACCCGAUAAUCCCGGCUCCCGCAUGGGAGCGGGGUGAAAGGCGGCUUCAGCUGUCACUUGCGGAUGGGCCCGCGGCGCAUUAGCUGGUUGGUGAGGUAACGGCUCACCAAGGCGACCAUGCGUAUCCGACCUGAGAGGGUGAUCGGCCACACUGGGACUGAUACACGGCCCACACUCCUACGGGAGGCAGCAGUAGGGAAUUUUCCGCAAUGGGCGCAAGCCUGACGGAACAACGCCGCGUGAGUGAGGACGGCCUUCGGGUUGUAAAACUCUGUUCUUGAGGAAGAACCCUUCCGAGGCGAACAGCCUCGGAAGUUGACGGUACUCAUGGAGAAAGCCCCGGCUAACUACGUGCCAGCAGCCGCGGUAAUACGUAUGGGGCGAGCGUUAUCCGGAAUUAUUGGGCGUAAAGCGCGCGCAGGCGGCCGAUUAAGUCAGGUGUGAAAGGCUGCGCGCUCAACCGCACAGCGGCACCUGAAACUGGUCGGCUUGAGUGCAGGAGAGGGGAGUGGAAUUCCCGGUGUAGCGGUGGAAUGCGUAGAGAUCGGGAGGAACAC
rnacentral:rRNA from 1 species